AAUAGUGAAAACAUCGUGAGGGAGUUGGUACAAUAUGGAGAAUGAUAAUUGGGUCAAUAAGCCGGGGAAGGCACAGAAAGGUUUGAAGUUGAGGAAGAUGAUGAAGUGCUUCUGCUCGGGCGAACAAUUACAGAUAGGUGACAUGGUUCCAUUGCCUGAUUCCCCUGCGACUAAGGAUUACAGAGCAAGUGUCCGCUCAUCAAGAGCCGGAGAUAUUGGCAAUAUUGAAGAGGCUGAAUCAUCUUUGCGCGAGAG
rnacentral:misc_RNA from 1 species